rnacentral:rRNA from 1 species
AGUGAACGCUGGCGGCAGGCCUAACACAUGCCAGUCGAGCGGCUGCACGGUACGUGCUUGUGGUUUCGGGUGGCGAGGGGCGGGUGGGUCAGAGGAACCUCCCUAGCUGUUUUGUCUUGCGUCCUGACGCGGGCGCUCAUACGCUAAUAGCGCAUACGACCUACGGGUGGAAUCAUCGGAUCUCCCGCCCUUGCGCGAUCCAAUGAGGCUAGGUCGGAUUAGCUAGUUGGCGGGGUAAAGGCCCACCAAGGCGACGAUCCGUAACUGGUCUGAGAGGAUGAUCAGUCACACUGGAACUGAGACACGGUCCAGACUCCUACGGGAGGCAGCAGUGGGGAAUAUUGGACAAUGGGCGAAAGCCUGAUCCAGCCAUGCCGCGUGUGUGAAGAAGGUCUUCGGAUUGUAAAGCACUUUUAGUGGGGAGGAAGAGCAGCAAGUUAAUACCUUGCUGUUUUGACGGUACCAAAAGAAUAAGCACCGGCUAACUUCGUG